GGAUUUGUAAUCACAUAAGCAACACGACGGGUGCCGCAUGUGGAGCAGGAUCUGCUUACCCUUCCGGAGCACCUGAGAUCACCCCUAGUUUUUGGUGGGGUUCGUGUUGUUUAUUCUUUAGUUUUCUAUGUUGUGUUAUGUGUACUAUUGUUUUUCUGUUUGUCUUUUUCAUUUUUAGCCAUGGCGUUGUCAGUUUGUUUUAGAUUUAUGAGUUUGACUGUCCCUUUGGUAUCUUUCGUCCCUCUUUCAAAAG
rnacentral:lncRNA from 1 species